CCCGACUGCUAUUUGGGUGAGAAUAAGCCAUGCAAGUCGAAUGGAAUACCAAAAUAUUCCAUGGCAAACUGCUCAAUAACACGUGAUCAACUUACCCUAUGGAAAACAAUAACCUCUGGAAACGGAGGAUAAUGGUUUAUAGUUGAAAAGGCUUGGAAAAGUUUUUCAAUAAAAGGGAAUAAUAAAAAUGGUUAUUAUUUUGCCAUAGGAUAGGAUUGCGGUCGAUUAUGGCUGUUGGUGAGGUAAUGGCUCACCAAGCCGAUAAUCGAUAGGGGCCGUGAGAGCGGGAGCCCCGAGAUGGGUACUGAGACAACGACCCAGGCCUUACGAGGCGCAGCAGGCGCGAAACCUCCGCAAUACACGAAAGUGUGACGGGGUUACCCAAAGUGUCCAAUUUUGAACUGUGGUAGGUGAGUAAUGUUCCCUACUAGAAAGGAGAGGGCAAGGCUGGUGCCAGCCGCCGCGGUAAAACCAGCUCUUCAAGUGGUCGGGAUAAUAUUGGGCUUAAAGUGUCCGUAGCCGGUUUAGUAAGUUCCUGGUAAAAUCGGGUAGCUUAACUAUCUAUAUGCUAGGAAUACUACUAUACUAGAGGGCGGGAGAGGUCUGAGGUACUACAGGGGUGGGGGUGAAAUCUUAUAAUCCUUGUAGGACCACCAGUGGCGAAGGCAUCAGACUGGAACGCGCCUGACGGUGAGGGACGAAAGCCAGGGGAGCGAACCGGAUUAGAUACCCGGGUAGUCCUGGCCGUAAACGAUGCAUACUAGGUGAUGGCACGGCCAUGAGCCGUGUCAGUGCCGUAGGGAAACCGUUAAGUGUGCCGCCUGGGAAGUACGGUCGCAAGGCUAAAACUUAAAGGAAUUGGCGGGGGAGCACCACAAGGGGUGAAGCCUGCGGUUCA
rnacentral:rRNA from 1 species